GCAGCAUGAUAGUGGGGAAAUGACUGAAUCCACAAGUGCUCCUAAUUCAGCAGUGAUGAAUAAUCCGUUCAUCUGCAGCUCAGCAGCUGAGCUCCAUUUCCUGACCUCAGAUGCCUCUCCUCAGGCCAAGCAGAGCCCUUCAAGAACCAGCUUAAAGCCGGUUUUGCAGCCUGAUCUCCAGGAAAUGCUAAAACAGCCACAAAUGAGGGGAAAAAAAUAAUUCAAAGGAGUUUGAAAACAUGAAAACAGCCCAGUGCUGCCACUCUGUAAGCAACAAGGAGUGGAGGCCCUUGGAGGAACACAAGAACAGGCAGUGACUGGUUGAAAAAACGCCUGCCUCCUUUAACAUCUGUGACAGUCGAAGGCAGAGCUCACCAGCUCAUUUUCAGCAAAGCAGCUUGGGAACCACUUUGCAGUUAGGAAUUGAGGUUUUGGGGAAAGUUCAGCCACCAGUUCCACCUCCGGAUUCCUUUCUGGACUGCAGAACCCUUGCUCAAGCUCAGGAUAAACCUCCUGCCUGUAUGAAAUGGCUGUUAGCCUGCCCUGCACAGUGGUAAAACAGCAGUGUGAGAUGAACACAUAGGGAACCUCCCCUCAUGUGGAAAUGUGUAAGUGAUUUAAAGGAAGCUGACAGGUCCCAGAGAAAAAAUCGAAGAGGAAAAGCAGAAAUAAAGCUGAUGAAUUCUUCCACGGUCUGAAGGCAAGUAGAGAGGAGCUUCCAGAUGUAAUGAAAUGCAUUGUUAACUUUGUUAUUGAUAAGACUGUCUGCCGGUGGCGAGGAGAUGAGGCUGUGCUGGCUUUUUUAGUGUACUGUGUACCUGCUUCCACAUCAUGGCUGUGAGGACAUUGGCAGCUGUGACUGCCACUGCUGGGCAGGGAGAGCACCAAGCCCAGCUCAGAUCCUUUCCAGACAUCAACGGCAGGCAGUUUUUGGCCUUCUCACAUCUUAAAACUUCUCCCCAUGCCCAUGUGGACGUGGACUUCAGGUGAACGUUGGCCUAGGCCUGCUCAUCAGCAGUGCUAUGGACAUAGCGUUGGUUUCUGAGGGGAUGCGGCCUUUGUCUAAUGGGACUGCCCCUUUCCCUCAUGGUUUCUGGUAGGUUUGUGCCCAGAUACAUGUGUUCGGGCACCGACUCUGUGCCUUGCUGAUCCUAAUGUGUGCAGCACACUGCCACGAGCACCCUUCUCGUUCCACAGGGUGUGUUUCUGCUCUCCAUCCCAGGCCAACACCGAGUAACAUGGCUUUUACAUGCAAAUGGAAAGAGGAUUUGGGGCUACUUCUCUCGUGUGGGGCUCAUUUAAACAGGCGGGUCAUGUAUUACAUUUAGUGAAAGUUGUGCCUUUUAAUCUUCUGAUCUCUGUCCCUGCUUUGAGCAGCUUUGCCAUCUGCUCAGAUGAAAUGUGACGUGACAAGACGUUUCAGCAGAGUCCCAUGUUUCUCCAAUGCUCCUCUCCUCCACCUAGAUCUACUGAGCAGCUCAGGGAAAGAAGUUGUGUGGCACUUGUGACACCAAAUUACUUACCAAUUGCAGAAUUAUUUGGAGUUUACCCUCUUAGUAACCCUGUGUGAAAUACAACUUUUUUUUUGUUGUUAUGAUUUCCCUGAAGAAUCUAGUGCUCAGGUGGGUUUAUCUUUCAGUGUUGGUCACCAACACCUUGUUUUGCUGUCAGCUUGAGGUGUAACUCCUCUGUUUUAAUUUGUGUGGUUCUGCUUGUUUGGAAGUAUUACUGAAUGGAGAGGAAGAAGGCUGAAGGUGUCAUUUCCACAGAUAAAGCUGUAGCUGUGCUGGUCUUAGAUUAGAAAAUGAACAAAUCCUUACCUCCAGGAUGAGCUGCUCUGAACAAGACUAACUGCAAAAAGUUUCCUGAACUUGGCUUGCGGUAACAGUGUGGCUCUUCCCUUGCUUUUGUCACCAGCAGAUCUCAAAGCACUUUGCAAAGGAAAUCAGUGUAUUUUUCAUCAAUAAAUGCAGGAGAGAGUGUCCACUCAAAAAAAAAAACAAACAAACAAAAAAAAAAACAAUGAAGAUAGGGGACUUGUUCCCCUGCCUGCUAUGUCCCCAGCCUUGUGCUCCUGCUAAGUAACAGUGUGGUUACAGGGUUUAUCUUUCUCCCUUUCAGCGUUUCCCCUCCCUUGGGUUUGUGUGUGUGGUUAACAUUUGUGCAUGCUCAGCUGCCUGAGUCCCCAAAGGCAGGACACCUGCAUUUUGUCACUGGAAAUCUCUGUGGAAAUAUGCCCAUCAGCAACACAGGCAAAGGUACAGUCUGGCUGAAAUCUAACUGAUCUAUGGCCUCUCUUGUCUCAGAAAUGAAUCUUUUGGGGCUCAAUAGCUUACGCUGACAGUGCUAUUAGUUUCAGGCUCGCCUUAGCAAGAGGGAGCUGACAAUAGUUGUGCAAGACCAGGCGAUGUUUGAAAUAGGAUCUGUGCUGUCAUUGUAACUGAAUCUUUGCUAUUUGGGAAGCCUUGGCUGGCUGCUGAGCCUGUGCUGUGAAUGGAUCUUGCAAUACAAAUAUUUGCCUGUGGAUAGAUGCCUUAUUAUUAAUUUAAAGCCUGACAUAAAUCAUGAGCUCAGAAAUGCAGACUUAAGCUUCCCGGACAAAAAUAGAUGUGGCCUCUUGCAUGGGGAGCCGUUCCGAUUAUGCUUCCAUAAUUGGAUCAUGCUGAAAUGGAUACCUUAAAUUUAGUUACAAAAGGCUAACCAGAAAAAAAUGCCAACAAUUUAUCACAGCCAUGGUGCUAUAUUUAAAGCUGUCAGCGUUUCCAGGAUAUAAAGCGAUUAUAAAUCCUAGUGGUUUGUAGCUGGCCGUAGGAAUCUGCCUUCAUGCUGACAUUUAACAUUCGAGUUCUCCACGCCGGAACCCCCUGAUUCAGGAAUGUAAUUAAGCCUUCACCUCCUUUUAAUUUAAGGAAUAACCCUACUGCCAAUACAGGCUUAAAUGUAGGCAUAUACUUGGAUGUGCUGUUGAAUCAAGGUCCAAAUACUUAAUUAAUUUCUCUCGGUAAUGAAAACCUGGCUGUUGAUUUGAAGUUAGAGGCACUAAAACGCUGCUCUCCAGUUUCAUUUAACUGAAAUAAAGCAAUGCCCAAUCCUGCUUGGAGUCUGAGCUUGUGGCAGCUCAUUAGCUAACAGAUGAGAAGUGCAGCAGUCAAAAAAAUGCGUUGAAUGUAGUCCUGUAUGAACCUUGCCUAACAAUGUCUUGCACAGAAGCCUUAAGAAAAAGGAAAGACAGAAUAACCUGCAGUAAAAUGUCUCUUAAAUAGCCUGAGGCUGCUGGAUCAAGCCGCUGGCAUGGUCAGCCCAGUGCUAUGCCUCCAAAACAGGUAAAAACAACUUGGAAGCAGGCAGGCAUGGAAUGACCAUCCUAAAAGGUUUCUUCCAGGUCUUCCCAAGCUUGUGCCCUGUAGAGAGUUCAUCUAUCUUAAAAACUCAUUAGAGCUUCAUCUUGUAGCCUCUAGUAACAUCAUCUCUUCUCACCAGUGUGGCUAAGGACUUUUCCAUGGAUAAAUGCAACAGAAUACCUGCUAGUUACAGCAUGAGCUCAGAGACGGUCAGGAAUUGGAGUAUUUCAUUCAAAUACGCCUGGCCUUGAACCUACUGUCUGAUAAGAUUUCAAAACAGAUCCAGCCUUCUUUUCCACAAAUAUCCCCUUUUAUUGGGAUACACCAAACCCAGGUACCUACAUCAGAGCACCUCUAAGCUGCUGGAACCAAGAGCUAAUGCCAACUCUCCAACCCUACUUACCAAAGACUGUAAUGGAAAUUUUGUGUCUCCUUUGAGGGUCCAUUAUUUGUUAUCAAACAAUAUUUUUACCUUCUCUUGCUGUGACCUUGGGUGAAUGAGAUGUUUUAGCUGCUCAAGAGCUGUACGAUGAGAGACGUUUGCUUGAAUUAUGAUGCAGAUAAUCCUGAAGGAACCUGGUAUUUGGAAAACUGGUCAAGAAAUAAGGCAAUGAGCAAUGAUGCUGCCUAUGGCUCUGCUUUCCAUUGUGUUUUCAUUUCCUACCUUCAUUCUUUUUCCCUUAAGUGACAUCAAGCUUGUGGAAUGUACUUCUUUAUUAGCAGGGUAAAGAACAAUAAGCAAAAAAAUGCAAUAAAAAAAAGAAAUUGCUUCCAAAGCUCCCUUGCCAACUAUGUGAAUCUUUCAGGAAACUAAUACAUACCCCAGCUCUGCAAAUCACUGAAGAAUGUGCGUUGUCUUAGUGGAGUAAACAGCACUCAGCAAGCCUGUGGAGAUAUUAUGCUGGGGAUGUGGGGCCUCAAGUCCUACAUCUGCACAGACAAUGUUCUGGGGCUUCUAAGGUGUCCCACAUGAGGCAUGGCCCAUGCUUCGAGGGCCACCUUUCUGUCAGCCCCUGCCACAGCAUUUGCACUGUGACCGUGGGCUGGGUCAGCAUCUACUUUGGGGGUUUGGACUCAGAGCUGAUGGAAAUGGGCUUUCGGGGCUGCCUGGUGCUCAGAGGAGCCUCCUGGGCUUGCCCAGGGCCUCUCAUCCUGGUUUUGGACACCACUGACAAGAACAUGAAAACAACAUCUCUGAAAACAGCACCUCGGUGCUAUUGCAUUGCACGAGGGCAUGCAGAAGAUUGGAUUGUCCAUGGGGGUCCCAGUCCAGCUGCAGGUGAGAUUUGCUUACUUCAGACUGGACAGAAAGUCUGCCUUGAUGUUGGGGUCUAGCUGUACCUGCUCCAGGACCUUGGGACACACUGUGUCUCCCAGAAAUUCUGCACUCCAGUGCUCGCAUUCCUCCUCCAGCAGUGCUGCAGACUGACAGUUUGUUUUAUUCCAGCAACUGCAGUUGCAUAUGGAGCUUGAGUGAGGUGUGUGGAGAGGUGAAUAACAAAAAACCGGAGAGAGAGAGAAAAAACAAUCAUCCUAAAUGACUUCCAUCUGUCUCCUCCUGUUGCCCACUGCAGAGAUCAGAUUUAUGAAACCUCUGUGCUAGCAGAGGCUCGCUACAAAGCCAGGUGCCAGCUCUGCCACCAGCAAGCCCCUGGGGACCUCAUGGAGCGAGUGCCGCUGCCCCCCUCCUGGUCCUCUUGCCACUGAUGCUUUGGGUGCAUGCCCAGGAUCCUCUCAGUUGCUUACAGGGUUUCACUGCUCAUCGCCAGGCUUUCUCUGCAAUAAAACGUACACCUCCCAUGAGAGGUUUUUUGGGGAAAGGUUGUGUGUCUGCAUUCACUCCAAAGCAAAAAUUCUCCUGCAGUGAUUGUUGAGCAGCUGGAAAGAGAGCGUUCAAAUGUUGCCCAAGCUCGGCUCUGCUCCUACUGAAGCUGGAGGGGAUAUCACCUUCCCCAUCUGAUCUCCCAAGUCAGCUGGCUUGUGCUGCCAUCAGGCAUCUGGGUGGAGUUUUGGGAGGAGGCUUUGUCUUCAGCUGAAAAUGGGGGAACUUCAAGGGGCCCCCAGGAACGCUCCAGGAGCAGGGGUGAAGGUGCCACAUCUGUGCUGCUGAUGCUUUUCUCUGCAUCUGUUUUCUACAGCAGGCAGGCGUCAGGGAGCCUGGCAGAGCUGAAUUCGUCCCCUGCAGAAGCUGGUAGGUGACAGUUCGCACAAGUCCUCAUUCGGAAGCUCUAUUUUGAAUGGAAAAACGGGCUCUCAGCUAAACCAAGCUGCAAUUGAAAGUGUCUGUGAGGUUUUUGUUUGUCUAGCAAGCAGUACAAGUAUUAACGGAGGGGAAAGGGAGCCAAACCAAAAAAUUGCAAGUGCCCUUAAGUAAAAAAUGUUCUCAUCCUUCAGCCCAAACCUACAACACAUCAGCAGAAAAAAAUGAAUGAUAGCAUUUAAUGGGAGCUGUAGCCUUAUUUUUCUACUUUGCUUACAGGACAAAAGCCCCAGCAGACCACAUAUCCUGUGCCAUGUCUCGACUGGGGCAUUCAACUUCUUGUGAGCGGUAAGGCUGUCUGCUACCAGUGUGCUGAACAAGUUCGUGCGAUACUUUCACCCAAGAAAAUGGGUCUCUGGAGGAGUACAGGAGCAUGGCAAUUUGCAAUUGAUAGAUACACCAGCAGUGAAAUUUUCAUUGACAUCUCUCUUACAAAAACCAAAAGCCACAGGCUGUCUUUCCCCUACAAUCCUGACUUGCUGGCUUCUUUUGAAAUCUCAGGUUGCCAACACGAUGCAUGGAAGGUGCCAGCACCAAAUGGAGGAAGGGAUUGCUUUUGAUGUUUCAGUCAAAUUUGUGCUCUAGUAAUUGUUUCUUGGGUGGAGUAAAGAAGACUUAGUCAAGCAGACAUCCCAACCGAGGGGUUAUUAGCUGCAAGGAACAUUUUCUUCUCUCUGCUAAAGCAUCAAGCGUUUCCCUCAUGGCAAACGUGAACAGUCAUUAUACAAAGACACCAAGACACUCAUGGUUUUGAACCGGAGCACAGGCUGUUACUUCUUAUGGGAAACAGCUUAAUGGCUACAAUAUUCAGCCAGGCCACUUUUGGCUGACUUCUGGGACCAGCCUGACUUCCACGCUAAGUGGUUGGUACCCUCUGGAGACUCAUGAAGCCUUCUUCUAGAAGGACUUUUGCACCACAGAAGCAGCUUUCAGGGUUCUGUUUCAAAGCAAGGUUGCCUGACAUCGCUUUGGCUAUGUCCACACGGCUCUGUGGCCUCCUGCCCACAGAAACUUCAGAGCCAAGCUUUGAAGUUGCCCACCCUCUUCCCAUGUCUCUGCUCUCGCUUUGACCUUCCUAACACAAAAAUAGCUCUUUUUAGUCACAGAAAAUAUCAAAGGUGACAGACAAUGGCUGGGUCCUUGUUCUCAUAGAAGUUGGUGGGAACUUUGCCAUGGUCCUGGAGGGGAACGUGAUUAGACCAGCAGGACCUUAUGACAGACCACAGCCCAAGAGGCAAUAGGAUCACUGACCAUAAGCUGUGGAGGCUCAGGAGGUUACCAAUAGGAUGGGUUGGGGGGCUUCCUCUUGGGGACAAUAGGGCAAAUCCAGCCUCCGCUUGGUGGCCUGAGGGACAGGACCUGUAAGCCAGUUCCUAGAACACAGAGGUUGCAGCAGAGUAUGGGAUUUCCAAAAUGAGUGUCAAGAAGCUAGCCAGAGACAAAGUGACAAGGCUGUCCCAACCUACAAGCUCUAUACAACCCAACCCACAUGUCCCACACCAUCAUACCCACAGGCCCUGCACCCUACCAACCUACACACCCUUCUCCAGCCAGCCCACAGGUCCUACACCCAUCACAGGAGUCACUCAGCUGUUGCCAGCUUAGGGUUUUUUUGGAAACUUCUAUCACAUUUUGGGAAUGCUUUCCAUCCUAAUAAUGAGACAGAUACUGUCUAAAAUGCAUGUCUAAAAUGGUGGCUUUUCUGGGGGGUGGGAUUUUGGACAGGGACAUUUUCUGGGUUAAAAGAGGUUAGCUCUUCUCACAGACCUGACCUUACCCAUGGCCUUGGAUUAGCAUAGCCACUAAAGUUUUGCCAUUAGAAAAAUAAUAAUAAUCUUUUGAGCCAGUGGUGGAAAUACCACUCCUAAUCUAACUGCCAAUUUCUCUGCUGGAGCUCAGGCUCCUAUCAGAAGAAACCUGCCCUGGUGUUUCAGUUCACAGCCUUCUCUACAUGUAGAACAGAGCAACAUUAGAGACGAUGAGACAAAAAUAAAUGGAGGAAGCUAGACACGGGAACAUAAUCAAAGGCAUCAAGCCUUUUAAGAUAACGUCUGUCCUAAUAUUUACAGAAUCCUUCCAAAGCCAAGAGACUUCUUCUGGACUUCAGAGGCUCGGCGCUGUUUUGUUCUUGUUUAUGGCUCUGGUGCCAAAGUAAAUCGAGGGGCUGAUAAACACUGCGCACCCUGCCAUGCUCUGUCAAUGGACGUCUUCCUUGGAAUUAGGUGGCUAAACAACAUAAAAGUAUUUUCAUUCUGCUUUAUGCUCUCAUCUGUCUCCUAAACAAUUAUUUUCAGAUUUAUGCUGGAACAUGAACUCAGUAGGACUUAUUUUGCUUUCCUGCUUUUCCAUCCCGCUGAUAAGCUGCCACGCCAGCCCAUGUGCGGAGUUUCUCACCAGCACUGUGCUCAUGUGCUCGGCUUGCAGCCUUCCCUCGUGUGGAAAUCUGCUCCGCUCAGAAACGCAGAGUUAUUUAAGGGGAGCUUUCACAGUAGCCAUUUGAUGUUCAGCCUUUUCGGGUGUCUGGACCCUAAUUAGAGAAGGGAAUUACAGAGCAGGAAGUUGGCAGGACUCAAAACUGUGGGUUCACCCCAAGGCUACGAUCUUCUGGGUUGCUGCUGCAUCUGCACAGUGAUUAGCGGCUCCUGUGCCCCCUGAUUUACUAGAAUACAAUAGAAGCCUUCUAAUUGUCUGUUAAUCAGAGUUAAUUGCUCACUAGGAAGGAGCUCAGGCCUAUCUAGCUGGUGGAAAAGAGAGCUGAAAGCUCCUGGGUGAAGGCUGGAAGCCCCGAGGCAGGCCCCUGGAAGAGCUGCCCUGCUCCUCCAGCACCCGGGCCAGGCCUAACCCAGCUCACUGAGCCCCAUG